CUUGCAGCAAUGGGUCCCUUGUGCAACAGUGCCCCCCCUUGCAGCAGUGCCCCCCCUUGCAGCAAUGCAUCCCCUUGCAGCAAUGCAUCCCCUUGCAGCAAUGUGUCCCCUGCAACGACAUGUCCCCGACACCGUCCCUCUCUUUCCCUCCAAACCAGGUCAGGGAUGCUCCCCUGCUCCAGCCCAGGCCGCAUCCCCUUGCAGCAAUGUGUCCCCUGCAACGACAUGUCCCCGACACCGUCCCUCUCUUUCCCUCCAAACCAGGUCAGGGAUGCUCCCCUGCUCCAGCCCAGGCCUUGGGAGAGGGAGCCCAAAGCCCCCCACAGCCGGCGAGAGAGAGAAGAACCUGGCGGGAGAAAUGCUGGGAGGUUCCCGGGAUGUGCCGGCAGGGUCCCAGCCUCCCCUCUGCCCUGCACCCAGCCYGAGCUCCCUGCUCCCAGCCCGGCCCCGUGCACCACCGCGUUGCCCGAUGGGGCACCCCCGCGUGCGGUGGGUGCGGGGGGGCUGCAAUGGGCAGAGCAGGAGCGGGGGUCAGACCUCCCGGGGCACUCUGCAGCCCCCCUCGGACAUCCCGUCCCGCUCCCUCCUCCCCAGGAGACACAGGGCAUUGCAGCUGGGGAAACUGAGGCACAGGGGGGCUGCAGCCUGGGUUUUUACCCGCCUCGCCUCGUCCUUCCCCGAGGUCACCGGGGUGGAGCAGGGCUGCGGGAUGCGGCAGCGAUUCCCGGGGCACAGGCAGCACCGCCGCGGCCGGUGGCAGAGGUGAGCGAGGGGACCUGGGGCGCGACGGGGCGCCCGCUCCCAGGAAGGGGUUGCAGACACACCCCCCCCCGGCACCUCUGCUUCGCCCCGCGCCUCGAGCCUGCGGGUUAACGCAUGCCGGGCGCCCGCGACACGUGCACGAAACGGCUUAACCUGGCGGGAGGCGGCGGGCCAGGCCGGUGCGCGGAGCCAGCAGCUCCUUAAAAUAGAAAGUGAAAACGCGCCGUGCCCCAGCCGGACAGGGGGUACGGUACGGUACAGCACUGCCUCCGCCGCCAGCGGCUUCCUCCGCCGGCCGCAGCGAGGCCAGCGUGCUCCUGGCACGUCCCAUCCGCGCCCCACGCCCCCCCAUCUUCCCACCGUGUGGGGACAGCAUGCCAUGUCCCCUCCAGGACCCCCAUCCUCUGCAGGACCCCCAUCCCCUGCAGGACCCCCA
rnacentral:lncRNA from 1 species